rnacentral:tRNA from 1 species
GGGGCUGUAGCUCAGCUGGGAGAGCACCUGCUUUGCAAGCAGGGGGUCACCGGUUCGAUCCCCGGUCAGCUCCACCA